GGCUCCGUGGCUUAGUUGGUAAAAGCGCCUGUCUCGUAAACAGGAGAUCUCUGGGUUCGAAUCCCAGUGGGGCCU